rnacentral:rRNA from 1 species
CCUACGGGUGGCAGCAGUGAGGAAUAUUGGUCAAUGGGCGGGAGCCUGAACCAGCCAAGUAGCGUGAAGGAUGACUGCACAGCGGGUUGUAAACUUCUUUUAUAAAGGAAUAAAGUGAGGCACGUGUGCCUUGUUGAAUGUACUUUAUGAAAAAGGAUCGGCUAACUCCGUGCCAGCAGCCGCGGUAAUACGGAGGAUCCGAGCGUUAUCCGGAUUUAUUGGGUUUAAAGGGUGCGAAGGCGGAUUUUUAAGUCAGCGGUAAAAGGUCGGGGCUAAACCCGGGCCGGCCGUUGAAACUGGGGGUCUUGAGUUGGCGAGAAGUAUGCGGAAUGCGUGGUGUAGCGGUGAAAUGCAUAGAUAUCACGCAGAACUCCGAUUGCGAAGGCAGCAUACCGGCGCCCGACUGACGCUGAGGCACGAAAGCGUGGGGAUCGAACAGGAUUAGAUACCCUAGUAGUC